AACGAACGCUGGCGGCAGGCUUAACACAUGCAAGUCGAACGCCCCGCAAGGGGAGUGGCAGACGGGUGAGUAACGCGUGGGAACGUACCCUUUACUACGGAAUAACGCAUGGAAACGUGUGCUAAUACCGUAUGUGCCCUUUGGGGGAAAGAUUUAUCGGUAAAGGAUCGGCCCGCGUUGGAUUAGCUAGUUGGUGGGGUAAAGGCCUACCAAGGCGACGAUCCAUAGCUGGUCUGAGAGGAUGAUCAGCCACAUUGGGACUGAGACACGGCCCAAACUCCUACGGGAGGCAGCAGUGGGGAAUAUUGGACAAUGGGCGCAAGCCUGAUCCAGCCAUGCCGCGUGAGUGAUGAAGGCCCUAGGGUUGUAAAGCUCUUUCACCGGUGAAGAUAAUGACGGUAACCGGAGAAGAAGCCCCGGCUAACUUCGUGCCAGCCGCCGCUGUAACAC
rnacentral:rRNA from 1 species